GUCGGGAUAGCUCAGCUGUAGAGC
rnacentral:tRNA from 1 species